rnacentral:rRNA from 1 species
UACGUAGGGUGCGAGCGUUAAUCGGAUUUACUGGGCGUAAAGCGAGCGCAGGUGGUUUAAUAAGUCUGAUGUAAAAGGCAGUGGCUCAACCAUUGUGUGCAUUGGAAACUGUUAGACUUGAGUGCAGUAGAGGAGAGUGGAAUUCCAUGUGUAGCGGUGAAAUGCGUAGAUAUAUGGAGGAACACCGGUGGCGAAAGCGACUCUCUGGUCUGUAACUGACGCUGAGGAGCGAAAGCGUGGGGAGCGAACAGG